rnacentral:rRNA from 1 species
AGUGAACGCUGGCGGUAGGCCUAACACAUGCAAGUCGAACGGCAGCACAGUAAGAGCUUGCUCUUACGGGUGGCGAGUGGCGGACGGGUGAGGAAUACAUCGGAAUCUACUUUUUCGUGGGGGAUAACGUAGGGAAACUUACGCUAAUACCGCAUACGACCUACGGGUGAAAGCAGGGGAUCUUCGGACCUUGCGCGAUUGAAUGAGCCGAUGUCGGAUUCGCUAGUUGGCGGGGUAAAGGCCCACCAAGGCGACGAUCCGUAGCUGGUCUGAGAGGAUGAUCAGCCACACUGGAACUGAGACACGGUCCAGACUCCUACGGGAGGCAGCAGUGGGGAAUAUUGGACAAUGGGCGCAAGCCUGAUCCAGCCAUACCGCGUGGGUGAAGAAGGCCUUCGGGUUGUAAAGCCCUUUUGUUGGGAAAGAAAAGCAGCAGGUUAAUACCCCGCUGUUCUGACGGUACCCAAAGAAUAAGCACCGGCUAACUUCGUG